rnacentral:rRNA from 1 species
AUUGAACGCUGGCGGCAUGCUUUACACAUGCAAGUCGAACGGUAGAGGGGCAACCCUUGAGAGUGGCGAACGGGUGAGUAAUGCAUCGGAACGUGCCCAGUAGUGGGGGAUAGCCCGGCGAAAGCCGGACUAAUACCGCAUGAGACCUGAGGGUGAAAGCGGGGGAUCGCAAGACCUCGCGCUAUUGGAGCGGCCGAUGUCAGAUUAGCUAGUUGGUGGGGUAAAGGCCUACCAAGGCGACGAUCUGUAGCUGGUCUGAGAGGACGACCAGCCACACUGGGACUGAGACACGGCCCAGACUCCUACGGGAGGCAGCAGUGGGGAAUUUUGGACAAUGGGCGCAAGCCUGAUCCAGCCAUGCCGCGUGCGGGAAGAAGGCCUUCGGGUUGUAAACCGCUUUUGUCAGGGAAGAAAUCUUCUGGGCUAAUACCCUGGGAGGAUGACGGUACCUGAAGAAUAAGCACCGGCUAACUACGUGCCAGCAGCCGCCGUAAGAC